CCUACGGGGGGCAGCAGUGGGGAAUAUUGGACAAUGGGGGGAACCCUGAUCCAGCCAUGCCGCGUGUGUGAAGAAGGCCCUCGGGUUGUAAAGCACUUUCAGUGAGGAAGAACGCCUGGUGGUUAAUACCCAUCAGGAAAGACAUCACUCACAGAAGAAGCACCGGCUAACUCCGUGCCAGCAGCCGCGGUAAUACGGAGGGUGCGAGCGUUAAUCGGAAUUACUGGGCGUAAAGCGCGCGUAGGUGGCUUGAUAAGCCGGUUGUGAAAGCCCCGGGCCCAACCUGGGAACGGCAUCCGGAACUGUCAAGCUAGAGUGCAGGAGAGGAAGGUAGAAUUCCCGGUGUAGCGGUGAAAUGCGUAGAGAUCGGGAGGAAUACCAGUGGCGAAGGCGGCCUUCUGGACUGACACUGACACUGAGGUGCGAAAGCGUGGGUAGCAAACAGGAUUAGAUACCCGUGUAGUC
rnacentral:rRNA from 1 species